AACUUCGCCGACUGAAUCCUCAGCCUCGGCCACGAAAACUCUGCUGACAUGACUUUGGCUCCUCUCUUUUCUGAGUUAUUAAUCAUUCCUUCCACUGCCUCACUCUCGUAGUCAUAAACUGUCAGAAGCUUUCUACUAGUCUUGUACGGGUAAGAUUCUGCCACAAGUUUAAAAGCUGAUGUUCUGUUGGCUGUGAAAACCAUGCUGUAAUCAUUUGCAGAAAUAUUAAGAAAAUCCAUGAUUCUAUUUCUCAUUGCAGAUUCCAGUUCUGAUUCUUGGCCGCCAUGAAGUAGCUGUGUCUUCAGAUUCCCGGUCUUGUAGGAUAUACUAAAGAAGGGGAAAUCUGAAUUCAGUUGGGAAGAAGAUUCCUGUUUGUGCAGCUGGGAAGAGGAGAAGAGGCCGAUGCCAA
rnacentral:lncRNA from 1 species